rnacentral:rRNA from 1 species
CCUACGGGGUGCAGCAGUCGAGAAUCAUUCACAAUGGGGGAAACCCUGAUGGUGCGGCGCCGCGUGGGGGAAUGAAGGUCUUCGGAUUGUAAACCCCUGUCAUGUGGGAGCAAAUUAAAAAGAUAGUACCACAAGAGGAAGAGACGGCUAACUCUGUGCCAGCAGCCGCGGUAAUACAGAGGUCUCAAGCGUUGUUCGGAAUCACUGGGCGUAAAGCGUGCGUAGGCUGUUUCGUAAGUCGUGUGUGAAAGGCCCGGGCUCAACCCGCGGACGGCACAUGAUACUGCGAGACUAGAGUAAUGGAGGGGGAACCGGAAUUCUCGGUGUAGCAGUGAAAUGCGUAGAUAUCGAGAGGAACACUCGUGGCGAAGGCGGGUUCCUGGACAUUAACUGACGCUGAGGCACGAAGGCCAGGGGAGCGAAAGGGAUUAGAUACCCUUGUAGUC